CCUCCCCGCUGCCGUCAAGCCCGGGCGGGGGAGGUGCUCUCCGCCGCGACGGGAAGUAAACCUCUUCAGAGCUGGUUGAGCAUGGCAAUGAGCUUUUCUUCCAGGGAAGUGUAAACUACAGAUGAGCUCCUUUGGGACACCAGAUUUGGCCAUGCUUUCGUGGAAGGAACAAUAGGAGUGAAGGUCAUCAUGGCUACA